UUCCAGAGAAAAGCAGAAACCUGAAACAGAAAAAAGAAUGGCCGGGGAUCUGGCCUUGCAGAGCAUGGAAUUGCAAAUCUGAAGACCUUCAUCUACGCCCAGCUUUACUAAAUGUCACAGAAUUCAGAAUUUUAUAACACUUUUCCUUUAGAGGAGUUGCAGUAAAUAACUGAAGACAGCCGUUAUAAGCCAACAAUAGUAAAAGGCAUCACUAAGAAGCUUGAUUUCUUCAAGGUGAGGCACCAUCAUAGCCAGCUCCUCCAACAUGUUCACACGUACCCCCUCUGUAGACCCAAGAUGAUUCUAGCAAUCCUGAGUCAUGUGCCUUCGUUUUUUUCCAGAGAGGAAAAACAUAAUGCUUUUGCUCCACUAUUUCUAAAGAAAGGUAUGUGGUUCACUCUCACUGACCUUGUUUGGGUCCUGAACCAAUUACCACUGACACAGUUACGAAGAGCAAUGAGAAGCUAAGCCUAUGUCACACGUGACACUCCUAGAGCCAGACUAAAUUAACUACCUAGCACUACACUGAUCUAUAAAUGUAAAUCAAGAAUGGCAAACAUUGUUGAAAACAGCAGAACCAUAAGAUGGAAGAUCCCUGAGUCCUUGAAUCGCUGCUUAGAACAAAGAUACAAGAAGACCAAUGGAUCAAAGGCCCAGAGAAGGAAAAUAAAAGGGGUUUUAAAAUGGCCCACAUGGACUCUUUACUUCCUGGUCUUUCUUUAUAUCCCUAGUAUUCAGUAGAAAUAAUGGUAAAAUAUCUGCAUCAAAUUAAAUGCUGAUGGACAGAUCCUAGAAGGAAAAUUAAGACCUGCCCACAAGAAAGGGCACACAGUUUCCAAAAGAAAAAUUCUAAUGAAACAAUAAAGGAUAAAGAAAUUGGAUCAGAGCAUUUCAAUAUCAAUUGAACUUCACUUCCAAUCAGACUAAAGUUAUAUGAAGUAUUCAUGAGUAAUUUGUGUUAAUUUCUA